UACGAAGGGGGCGAGCGUUGUUCGGAUUUACUGGGCGUAAAGGGUGCGUAGGCGGUUGGGUAAGUCUGACGUGAAAUCUCCGGGCCUAACCCGGAAACUGCGUUGGAUACUUCCUGACUAGAGGAAUGGAGGGGAGACUGGAAUACUUGGUGUAGCAGUGAAAUGCGUAGAUAUCAAGUGGAACACCAGUGGCGAAGGCGAGUCUCUGGACAGUUCCUGACGCUGAGGCACGAAAGCCAGGGGAGCAAACGGG
rnacentral:rRNA from 1 species